rnacentral:rRNA from 1 species
CUGCACGGCUGUCGUCAGCUCGUGUCGUGAGAUGUUGGGUUAAGUCCCGCAACGAGCGCAACCCCUCGCAUUCAGUUGCCAUCGGGUGAAGCCGGGCACUCUGGAAGGACUGCCAUCGACAAGAUGGAGGAAGGUGGGGACGACGUCAAGUCAUCAUGGCCCUUAUGUCCAGGGCGACACACGUGCUACAAUGGCCGGCACAACGGGAAGCGAGUUCGCGAGGACGAGCGGAUCCCUUAAAGCCGGUCGCAGUUCGGAUUGAAGUCUGCAACUCGACUUCAUGAAGCUGGAAUCGCUAGUAAUCGCAGAUCAGCCAAGCUGCGGUGAAUACGUUCCCGGGCCUU